rnacentral:lncRNA from 1 species
GAUCAAGUGUUUAUACAGUCUAAUCCAUUGUCUACAUAUUCAACUCUUUGGACAACAGUUUCUGCAGUGUUCAUUUGGAAUUUAAGAGCCUUCCUAGAUUUUGGGGCCACCUGGGUGUAUAAGACACAUACCCUGCUCUCAUGGUAGGGAGAAAGAGAUGCAAAGAGAUGCAGGUGGGAAGAGCAUAAUGGAGUCUGUGCAGCUGUAGAGGGGACACAGUGGAAGGAGUGAGCAGCUACUCCUGGGCCUGAGGGAGGAGUAAGGAGGAGAAGAAGGGCUUCGCUUGGUGUCAGAGGAGCUCCCCAGUAGGCAAGAAGCAGAUAGAAUUCUGGGUGGAGGGAAUGGUGCUGCCGUAUACAUUAUAUCUACUUUAAUUUGGAGCUUGAAGUUUAAUCAAUGUCAUUUUACAUUUAGAAUUUCCUCCAAAAACAGUCUUGACUCUGUCACUGACUGAUUGCCCCGAGGAACUCAAGGGUGGGUUUGGAACCGUUUAACUGUUUUUCCAGAUUGUUCUUUUUCAACUUUUGCUAUGUUAAGGAGAUGCAAUCACCAACUACCCUGAACCAGAACAAGCCUCACCACCAGAGCAACGCCUACGGCCUCUGCUUUAUUUUUAAUGCUAAGAUCUCUCCAAGAGGAGCUUAGGCCUGAGUAACAUAACCUGCAGUGUAUGUGGAAACAUGCUUUCCAGCUGAGCGUGUGCAAACAAAUAGACCCAGAGGCUGCACUGAGCUCUUUGCUCAGAGGAUCUGUCAAUGGAGGGAUAAGGAACACUUCCAUCCCAUGGGAAGAGAACACGCGAAGAUGAAGGAGAGAGAGAACAUAGGGAGUAUGGAAAGGAGCAGAACCUCAGGAAGAAGAGUCCACCUUGGAAAGGAAGGGGUUCCCAUGCCCUUCUGAGAGGAGAGAUGAAGAGAAUUUGGGGCUGGUGGUUUGGAGAGAGAGAGCCGUGGGAGGAACUGGAGGAGAUCAGGCUGAAAGGACUGGAAGGGCUAAAAAUCUUGAAUGUAAAUCACACUGGAAAGGGAAGAGUCUCUUCAUGCUGAGUAACUGCCAUUUCCAGAAAAGGUGUGUAGAAAAGAGCAUUAAUGCUCAAGGGCAGCCCAGACUUCCUCUAAGAUCUUGCUAAAGAAGCCUUCUCCAGGUUAGACACACGUUCUUGGGGUUUGGGACUUUGCCACUGGAUAGAAUAUUUCCUUCUCCUUAAAUUUAUAUAGGCUGCCC